rnacentral:rRNA from 1 species
UACGGGGGGAGCAAGCGUUGUUCGGAUUUACUGGGCGUAAAGGGCGGGUAGGCGGCCACCGCAAGUCAGUUGUGAAAUCUCUGGGCUUAACCCAGAAAGGUCAACUGAUACUGCGGGGCUAGAGUGCAGAAGGGGCAACUGGAAUUCUCGGUGUAGCGGUGAAAUGCGUAGAUAUCGAGAGGAACACCUGCGGCGAAAGCGCUCUACUGGACCGCGACUGACACUGAUGGACGAAAGCUAGGGGAGCGAAUGGG